rnacentral:rRNA from 1 species
UCCCGGAUGGACCAGACGGACGCGCGGCGUUCGUUUAUCAGAUCGAAUCCAACCCAGUCAGCCGUCCCCCCAGCUGGGGCGGUGGGGGGACGGGGGCGGUUGGCUUUGGUGACUACAUAACCUCUGGCCCAUCGCACUCCUCCACCACCCCCGUGGCGGCGACGACACAUUCAAACGUCCUCCCUAUCAACUUAUGGUAGUUGCCGUGCCUACCUUGGUGACAAGGGGUGAUGGGGAAUCAGGGUUGGAUUCUGGAGAGGGAGCCUGAAAAACGGCUACCACAUCCAAGGAAGGCAGCAGGCGUGCAAUUACCCACUCCUGAUCUGGGGAGGUAGUGACGAAAAUACCAGGAUUCUUUGAGGCCGUCAUUGCAAUGAGUCCACUUUAAAUCCUUAAAGGUGAAUGAAUGAAUCAAUCAAUCAAUCAAUCCUUAAAGGUGGAUCUAUUGGAGGGCAAGUGUGGUGUCUGCAGCAGCUGCAGUAAUUCCAGCUCCAAUAGUUUAUUAAAGUUGCUCCAGUUAAAAAGCUCCUUGUUGGAUCUCGGGAGCGGGCAGGCGGUCCUCCGCUGGGGGAGCCACCGCCUGUCCCAGCCUUGCCUCUCGGGGGCCCUCGAUGCUCUUAGCUGAGUGUCCCCCAGGGCCUGAAGCAUUUACUUUGAAAAAAAUAAAUGUUCAAAGCAGGCCCAAGCCGACUGAAUACCGCAGCUGGGAAUAAUGGAAUAGGACCGCGAUUCUAUUUUGUUAGUUUUCGGAGCUGAGGCCAUGAUUGAGAGGGAUGACCAGGGGCAUUUGUAUUGUGCCGCUAGAGGUGAAAUUCUUGGACUGGGCAAGACGGACCAGAGCGAAAGCAUUUGCCAAGAAUGUUUUCAUCAAUCGAGAACGAAAGUCGGAGGUUCCAAGAUAAUCAGAUACCGUCGUAGCUCCGACCAUGAACGAUGCCCACCGGCGAUGUGGCAGCGUUAUUCCCACGACCCACGGGGCAGCUUCCAGGAAACCAGAGUGUUUGGGUUCCAGGGCGAGUAUGGUUGCCAAGCUGGAACUUAAAGGAUUUGGCGGAAGGGCACCACCAAGAGUGGAGCCUGCGGCUUAGUUGGACUCAACACAGGAAAUGUCACCCAACCCGGACACAGAUUGAUAGCUCUUUCUCAAUUCCGUGGGUGGUGGUGCUUGGCCAUUCUUAGCUGGUGGAGCAAUUUGGUUAAUUCCGAUAACAAACGAGACUGUCACUCUAAGUAGUUACACGACUCCCAAGCGAUUGGCGUCCCCCAACUUCUUAGAGGGACAAGUGGCAUUCAGCCAACCGAGAUUGAGCAAUAAAUAACAGGUCUGUGUCGCCCUCACAUGUCCGGGGCUGCAUGUGGCUCAGCAUGUGCCUACCUUAUGCCACCCGGCAUUCAUGAUGGGUAUCGGGGAUGGCAAGGAUUCCCUAUGAACGAGGAAUUCCCAGUAAGUGGGGGGUCAUAAGCUUGCGUUAAGUCCGUGACCUUUGUACACACUGCCCGUCUCUAUUACCGAUUGGAUGGUUUAGUGACGCCUUCCGGAUAGCUCCCCGCACCCACCCCCACCCCCCCGCUUGGCCAACGUCCUGGCAGAGUGCUGAGAAGAUGGUCCAACUUAACUAGAGGAAGUAAAAGUCCUAACAAGGUUUCCAUUUGUGAACCUGCAGAAG